rnacentral:lncRNA from 1 species
UUUUAUAUUUAGAGAAAGAACUAGCUUUCAAGAGCCCAUUUUUUUUCCUCAUGUUUUAGCAAAUAAAAGGCCUUUAUAAUAUGGGAGGUUUUUUCCCAUGCUAUUUCUUCCUACAUAUAUAAAUAAAUCUUGAGAGAUACCAUAACACUAUCUGUAAUGCACAUCCACUAGAGUCAUUUAUGUUUAUGGUAUGUAUAGAAAAGUUAUGUGUACAGUAAUACUGUAAAAGUCAAGUCUGUUCACAGGGUUUUUAGAAGAUACUUCCUAAAUUGCCUGAAGGAUAUCUAAUGAAAUACAUAAUAUAUCAAAACACUCUGUACUAAUAGCUACAUAGCACUCAUUUUGUCUGUGCCUAGUAUGAAUAAUAUAAAAAUCCCAACAGGGUAGGGCUCUGCAUCGGGUGAAACCCUCAGUACUGCCAAGAGUCUGGGGAAGGAUGGAGAACAGUAACAGAGACCUGAGAGCUGUGAUGUGUCCUGAAUGAAACAUCUGCACUACUGUCUACAUGACAGAUGCAGUCUGUCAUGAGGAAGAGCUGGAAGUAUGGACCUUGGACUGCUACAGAGGACAGUGGAGCUGUCUCUAAGUGUUACCUUCAAAAGGCUUGUGGUGCUCAAACCUGCAGCUGUCAUGUUCUUCUAGAAGUGGGCAGAUGGACUAGGAUUAAAGGAAUUCUCCUCCAGCCGGAUCAUCCUGAAGGAAUGAAAUACACUGUUCUGGAGGAAUACUGUCCUCCUUGGAAAUCCAAGACUUCAGAACAGCACAUUACAGAAAGAAACCAGUUUUGCUACAUAGAAAAAUUAAAAAAAGAAGCCAAA